rnacentral:rRNA from 11 species
AGCUAAUCUGCCCUGGGUAAGUCGGGACCUAAGGCGAGGCCGACAUGCGUAGUCGAUGGACAUCCGGUUGAUAUUCCGGAACCGGCGAAGAACCGCCCAGUACCGAAUCGCGUGAUGCUAAGCGCCUGAAGCCUUCCGUCGCCUGUUCCUUUCGAGGGACGGGCUGGGGGGUGGAACGCGUGACCCGAGCGUGUAGUAGGUAAGCGAUGGAAGGACGCAGGAAGGUAGCCUCCGCGUGGCGAUGGUAGUCCACGUCCAAGAGCGCAGGACCGGGGAGUGGUAAAUCCGCCCCAUCAGUGUCCGAGGCUUGAUGGUGACCGUGUAUGCGGGAAGUAGGGUGAUCCUAUGCUGCCUAGAAAAGUUCCUAGCGAGGUUCGAGCCGCCCGUACCCCAAACCGACUCAGGUGGUUAGGUAGAGAAUACCAAGGCGAUCGAGUGAAUCGUGGUUAAGGAAUUCGGCAAAAUGCCCCCGUAACUUC